AAGUUUAGCUAAUGUUGCCCGUACCGUAAACCGACACAGGUGGGUGGGAUGAGUAUUCUAAGGCGCGUGGAAGAACUCUCUUUAAGGAACUCUGCAAAAUAGCACCGUAUCUUCGGUAUAAGGUGUGGUUAGCUUUGUAUUAGGAUUUACUCCGAAAGCAAGGAAACUUACAACAAAGAGUCCCUCCCGACUGUUUACCAAAAACACAGCACUCUGCUAACUCGUAAGAGGAUGUAUAGGGUGUGACGCCUGCCCGGUGCUCGAAGGUUAAUUGAUGGGGUUAGCAUUAGCGAAGCUCUUGAUCGAAGCCCGAGUAAACGGCGGCCGUAACUAUAACGGUCCUAAGGUAGCGAAAUUCCUUGUCGGUUAAAUACCGACCUGCAUGAAUGGCGUAACGAGAUGGGAGCUGUCUCAAAGAGGGAUCCAGUGAAAUUGUAGUGGAGGUGAAAAUUCCUCCUACCCGCGGCAAGACGGAAAGACCCCGUGGACCUUUACUACAGCUUGACACUGCUACUUGGAUAAGAAUGUGCAGGAUAGGUGGGAGGCUUUGAGUAUAUGACGCCAGUUGUAUAUGAGCCAUUGUUGAGAUACCACUCUUUCUUAUUUGGGUAGCUAACCAGCUUGAGUUAUCCUCAAGUGGGACAAUGUCUGGUGGGUAGUUUGACUGGGGCGGUCGCCUCCCAAAUAAUAACGGAGGCUUACAAAGGUUGGCUCAGAACGGUUGGAAAUCGUUCGUAGAGUAUAAAGGUAUAAGCCAGCUUAACUGCAAGACAUACAAGUCAAGCAGAGACGAAAGUCGGUCUUAGUGAUCCGGUGGUUCUGUGUGGAAGGGCCAUCGCUCAAAGGAUAAAAGGUACCCCGGGGAUAACAGGCUGAUCUCCCCCAAGAGCUCACAUCGACGGGGAGGUUUGGCACCUCGAUGUCGGCUCAUCGCAUCCUGGGGCUGGAGCAGGUCCCAAGGGUAUGGCUGUUCGCCAUUUAAAGCGGUACGCGAGCUGGGUUCAGAACGUCGUGAGACAGUUCGGUCCCUAUCUGCCGUGGGCGUAAGAAGAUUGAAGAGAUUUGACCCUAGUACGAGAGGACCGGGUUGAACAAACCACUGGUGUAGCUGUUGUUCUGCCAAGAGCAUCGCAGCGUAGCUAAGUUUGGAAAGGAUAAACGCUGAAAGCAUCUAAGCGUGAAGCCAACUCUAAGAUGAAUCUUCUCUAAGCUCUCUAGAAGACUACUAGUUUGAUAGGCUGGGUGUGUAAUGGAUGAAAGUCCUUUAGCUGACCAGUACUAAUAGAGCGUUUGGCUUAUCUUUAAUAAAGCAU
rnacentral:rRNA from 1 species